rnacentral:lncRNA from 1 species
GUAGGCGUCAUUCUUCACAGUCGUCCUCUGCCUCCACCGCCCCGGGAUCUCCUUGUGCUUGGUCCUCUACCUGGAGUCACCUAUGCAGCGGAAUUCCGCGGGGCGGGGACAAGGACAGGGGGUCUUUAUGGCAGCCAAUACCCGGCUGAGCGCUUGGCCAGAGUUUCUGUGAUGCUAGAAUCUGGACUGCCUGCGACCUCUCCUGGACUCGGACACCAGCCCUCGCCUCCUGGUGAUCUUUUAGGGCCUGCAGAGAAGCGAAGAGAUGAGGCCCAGAGAGGCGAAGCCACUUGAGCUCGUGAGUGACAGUCAGAUCUCAAGCCCUGCUCUUUCUAAAGUGUGCUGCCUUCAAAAAAGAAGAGCCAGAAGAAUGGAAAUUACUUUAGAAAGAUGAAUACCAGCUUUGAAGGAAUAAAAGCUGACAAGGAAUUGAAAGAGUUGAGGCACAAGCUUGAACAGGAUUGCAUGUUUGGCCCUUGAUUGUAAACGCCUAUUGCUGCACCUGUUCCUGUUACUUGGGGAGCUGCAGCAGAAGGAACAGCGGCCUGGGACUCCAGAGAACUGGGUUCCCUCUCAUCCCUCCAGGGCCACCACUUCUUGUGGGCCCUUGGGCAAGUCACUGUACUUUCUGAGUCUCAGUUUCCCCAUUUGCAGAAUGGAAAUAACUACCCCGGUCUACCAACUUAGAAGAAUUGCUUUGAGGAUCUGAUAAGGUGGUGUGGAUGAUGCUGCCUUGGGGGCUUUACAGUCUGGAGCUCAAGGGACCCCUUAAGUUGGGCUUACUUAGUAUCUCCAGGGGUGGGCAGAACAGGACUCCAAUGAGGGUUUUUUUCUUUUUCCCUUUUUUUUCUUUUCCUAUCUCUCAACUUUUAUCUUUAUUAUUUUACAAUGCCCUUGUAAGAUGAAACAAGUGAUGCUGAAAUAUUUUUUUUCUUUUUUAACCUUUAUUUUAGAAUUGGGGUACAUGUGCAGGUUUGUUACAUAGGUAUAGUGUGGGCUGCUGAGGUUUGGGGUACGAAUGAAUUAGUCACCCCAGAGGUGAGCAUAGUGCCUGAUAAGUAGUUUUUUCAGUCCUUACUCCCAUCCCUCUCCAUUCUUGUGUUCCCCAGUGUCUGCUGUUCAGGUUUUUAUGACCGUGUGUACUCAAUGUUUAGCUCCCACUUAGAAGUAAGAACAUGCCCAGCACUUUAGGAGGCCGAGAUGGGUGGAUCAUGAGGUCAAGAGAUCGAAACCAUCUUGACUAACACAGUGAAACCCCGUCUCUACUAAAAACAUAAAAAAUUGGCCGGGUGUGGUGGUGUUCACCUGUAGUCCUAGCUACUCAGGAGGCUGAGACAGGAGAAUCGCUUGAACCGGGGAGGUGGAGGUUGCAGUGAGCUGAGAUUGUGCCACUGCACUCCAACCUGGGUGACAGAGUGGGAUUCCAUCUCAAAAAAAUAAAAAUAAAAAAAUAAAAAGAACGUGGUGUAUGA